GAACUUUGACCUCAAAUCAGGUGGGACUACCCGCUGAACUUAAGCAUAUCAUUAAGCGGGAGGAA
rnacentral:rRNA from 1 species